GGAGAUGAUCGGUGAUGAUGAGGAGCAGAGCGGCCGAUGUCUCGCAGCUCGAUCGGCUCACUGCCUGGGGGAAUCUCAGCGUUGAGCCAACUGUCCAGACUGCGCAGCAACAGUCUGGAAGAGCUGCCUGCUGAGCUGGGCUGCUUUUUGGGGCUCUGUGGAGGUGGGCUGCUUGGUAGAGAGUUGCUGUGAACCUGAGUGACAAACAGGAAGUGAGCAGAGAGAGACGGCGCCAGUCAGGACGGCUUUCACCAGCAACAUCGUCCAGCUGCCCGGCAUGAAGACCUGGACAAGCAACCUGGGGACACGAGA